rnacentral:sRNA from 1 species
UCCAUUGUUGUUCUUCUUCUUCUCUCGCUGAGCUUUACCGGAAACAAU